AGAGUUUGAUCCUGGCUCAGAUUGAACGCUGGCGGCAUGCCUUACACAUGCAAGUCGAACGGCAGCGCGGACUUCGGUCUGGCGGCGAGUGGCGAACGGGUGAGUAAUGCAUCGGAACGUACCUUUCAGUGGGGGAUAACGUAGCGAAAGUUACGCUAAUACCGCAUAUUCUGUGAGCAGGAAAGCAGGGGAUCGCAAGACCUUGCGCUGAUGGAGCGGCCGAUGUCAGAUUAGCUAGUUGGUGGGGUAAAGGCUCACCAAGGCGACGAUCUGUAGCGGGUCUUAGAGGAUGAUCCGCCACACUGGAACUGAGACACGGUCCAGACUCCUACGGGAAGCAGCAGUGGGGAAUUUUGGACAAUGGGCGCAAGCCUGAUCCAGCCAUGCCGCGUGAGUGAAGAAGGCCUUCGGGUUGUAAAGCUCUUUCGGCCGGGAAAAAAUCGCUUGGGUUAAUACCCUGAGUGGAUGAUGGUACCGGAAUAAGAAGCACCGGCUAACUACGUGCCAGCAGCCGCGGUAAUACGUAGGGUGCGAGCGUUAAUCGGAAUUACUGGGCGUAAAGCGUGCGCAGGCGGUUUUGUAAGACAGGCGUGAAAUCCCCGGGCUCAACCUGGGAACUGCGUUUGUGACUGCAAGGCUAGAGUAUGGCAGAGGGGGGUGGAAUUCCACGUGUAGCAGUGAAAUGCGUGGAGAUGUGGAGGAACACCAAUGGCGAAGGCAGCCCCCUGGGCCAAUACUGACGCUCAUGCACGAAAGCGUGGGGAGCAAACAGGAUUAGAUACCCUGGUAGUCCUCGCCCUAAACGAUGUCAACUAGGUGUUGGGUGGGUAAAACCAUUUGGUACCGUAGCUAACGCGUGAAGUUGACCGCCUGGGGAGUACGGCCGCAAGGUUAAAACUCAAAGGAAUUGACGGGGACCCGCACAAGCGGUGGAUGAUGUGGAUUAAUUCGAUGCAACGCGAAAAACCUUACCUACCCUUGACAUGCCAGGAACUUGCCAGAGAUGGCUUGGUGCCCGAAAGGGAGCCUGGACACAGGUGCUGCAUGGCUGUCGUCAGCUCGUGUCGUGAGAUGUUGGGUUAAGUCCCGCAACGAGCGCAACCCUUGUCGUUAAUUGCCAUCAUUUAGUUGGGCACUUUAACGAGACUGCCGGUGACAAACCGGAGGAAGGUGGGGAUGACGUCAAGUCCUCAUGGCCCUUAUGGGUAGGGCUUCACACGUCAUACAAUGGUCGGUACAAAGGGUUGCCAAGCCGCGAGGCGGAGCCAAUCCCAGAAAGCCGAUCGUAGUCCGGAUCGCAGGCUGCAACUCGCCUGCGUGAAGUCGGAAUCGCUAGUAAUCGUGGAUCAGCAUGUCACGGUGAAUACGUUCCCGGGUCUUGU
rnacentral:rRNA from 1 species